rnacentral:rRNA from 1 species
UAUCUCUGUAGAGUCUGCAUAUCAAUAAGCGGAGGAAAAGAAACUAACAAGGAUUCCCUCAGUAACGGCGAGUGAAGCGGGAAGAGCUCAAAUUUGAAAUCUUCAAGGUUCUACCUUGACGAAUUGUAGUUUAAAGAAGUGUUUUCUGUUAGAGUUUGAGUAGCAAAGUUCCUUGGAAUAGGGACAUCAUAGAGGGUGAGAAUCCCGUAUUUGACUAUUAUUCUAGCUUUGUGAUACACUUUCAAAGAGUCGGAUUGUUUGGGAAUGCAGUCCAAAAUGGGUGGUAAAUUUCAUCUAAAGCUAAAUAUUGGCGAGAGACCGAUAGCGAACAAGUACCGUGAGGGAAAGAUGAAAAGAACUUUGAAAAGAGAGUUAAACAGUACGUGAAAUUGUCAAAAGGGAAGCGUUUGACACCAGUGUUGUUUUCUCGAAAAUCAAUUAAGAAUGGCAUGAUUUUGUGUUGUAUUGACCUUAUCAGCUUUCUUCACUCUUUUCUUGUCCUUUUUAAUGCACUUUUCGUUUAACAAGUCAACAUCAAUUUCUUUUGUUGUAAAAGGGUCAUUGGAAGGUGGCUUUCUUUUCGGAGAAAGUGUUUAUAGCCUUUGGCCUCUGCAAUCGGAGAGAUUGAGGUCUGCAGCGUAGAUCCUUCGGGGUUAGAUACAUUUGUGCUAAGUUAUAGCCUUUCAUAGACAACUUGUUGACUAUGAUCAGUCAUGUAGCUUACUCGCUUAUGCUAUUUUACCUACGCUUAGGAUGUUGAGCGCAUGUCUCUCUCU